rnacentral:rRNA from 1 species
AUUGAACGCUGGCGGCAUGCUUUACACAUGCAAGUCGAACGGUAACAGGGUGCUUGCACCGCUGACGAGUGGCGAACGGGUGAGUAAUGCGUCGGAACGUGCCGAGUAGUGGGGGAUAACGCAGCGAAAGUUGUGCUAAUACCGCAUACGUACUGAGGUAGAAAGUGGGAAACCUUCGGGCCUCACGCUAUUCGAGCGGCCGACGUCUGAUUAGCUAGUAGGUGAGGUAAAGGCUCACCUAGGCGACGAUCAGUAGCGGGUCUGAGAGGAUGAUCCGCCACACUGGGACUGAGACACGGCCCAGACUCCUACGGGAGGCAGCAGUGGGGAAUUUUGGACAAUGGGCGAAAGCCUGAUCCAGCCAUGCCGCGUGUCUGAAGAAGGCCUUCGGGUUGUAAAGGACUUUUGUCAGGGAGGAAAUCCCUAGUGCUAAUAACACUGGGGGAUGACAGUACCUGAAGAAUAAGCACCGGCUAACUACGUGCCAGCCGCCGCGGUAA